GAUUAGCUUGUUGGUGAGGUAACGGCUUACCAAGGCGACGAUCAGUAUCUGAUUUGAGAGGACGAUCAGACACACUCGGAACUGAGAUACGGACCAGACUCCUACGGGAGGCAGCAGUAGGGAUUAUUCGGUCAAUGGGCGAAAGCCUGAACCAGCCAUGCCGCGUGCAGGAAGACGGCCUUCUGGGUUGUAAACUGCCUUAUAUAGGAAGAAACGCCCCCGCGAGGGAACUGACGGUACUAUAUGAAUAAGCACCGGCUAACUCCGUGCCAGCAGCCGCGGUAAUACGGAGGGUGCAAGCGUUGUCCGGAUUUAUUGGGGUUUAAAGGGUACGUAGGCGGCUUUUUUAAGUCAGUGGGUGAAAUCCUGCAGCUUAACUUGCAGAACUUGCCAUUUGAUACUGGAGAGCUUUGAGUAUUUGUUAAGGUAGGCGGAAUUUGAUGGUGUAGCGGUGAAAUGCAUAGAUACCAUCAGGAACACCGAUUGCGAAGGCAGCUUACUGGGCAAUAACUGACGCUAAAGUACGAAAGCGUGGGGAGCGAACAGGAUUAGAUACCCUGGUAGUCCACG
rnacentral:rRNA from 1 species